rnacentral:rRNA from 1 species
CAAGAGUUUGAUCCUGGCUCCGAAUGAACGUUAAUAGUUGACUUAACACAUGCAAGUUGAACAAAUUUUCUUAACUGGAAGUAAGUAGCGAACGGGUGAGUAAUAUGUAGAAAUUGACCUUAAAAUUUUGGCUAAAUGCAUAAAAUUUAUUUGCUUUAAGAAUAGUCUACAGAAGGAUUAAGUAGUUGGUCAUUUAAAAGAUUACCAAGCUUAUGAUCCUUAACUGGUCUUUGAGGAUGAACAGUCACAUUGGAAUUGAGAUAAGGUCCAAACUUUAUAUUUAAGGCAGCAGUGAGGAAUAUUGGGCAAUGAGCUAAAGCUUGACCCAGUCAAACUAUAUGUGUGAAGAAGGCACUAUGUCGUAAAAUACUAAAACUUGCUAUUCAAUAAUGAUGGUAUAAGUAAUAAUCCUGGCUAAUUUCGUGCCAGCAGCCGCGGUAAAACGGGAAGGGUUAACGUUAUUCAAAUUCACUGGGCGUAAAGCAUAUUUAGGUGGAAAGCUUUAUUUUUAUUUAAAUUUCAAAUCUAAUUUCUGAGUUUUUUUAAUCAAAGUCUUCUAGAGUUUAGUUGAAGGUUAUGGAACUUUAAGUGUAACGGUAAAAUGUUUUAAUACUUAAAAGAACCUCGAUAGCGUAAGCAAUAACCUAAACUAAUACUGACAUUACGAUAUUAAAGUGUGGGUAGCAAAAGGGAUUAGAUACCCCUGUAGUCCACACCCUGAACGAUGAGUGUUUGUUAUUGGAUAUUUUCAGUAACUUAGCUAACGUAUUAAACACUCCGCCUGGGAACUACGGUUGCAAAAUUAAAACCCAAAGGAAUUGACGGGAACCUACACAAGCAGUGGAGCAUGUGGUUUAAAUCGAUAAUACGCGUGUAAUCUUACCAACUUUUGUAUAGUUUUAACUACAGGUGUUGCAUGGCUGUCGUCAGUCCGUGCCUUGAGGCGUUUGGUUCAUUCCACUAAACGGACAAAACUUUCGUACACUCUAGAUUGUAGAUCACCAAAGAUAUUUUGGAAGAAGUUGAAAAUGAUGUCAAGUCUUUAUGACCCUUAUAAGUUGGGCUACUCUCAUGUGCUACAGUAGUUUUUUUAAUGAGAAGCUAGAAAGCAAAUUUAAGCAAAUCUUAAAAUAAAAUUACAACCGGAUUGUUUUCUGAAAUUCGAAAAUAUGAAGUUGAAAUUGCUAGUAAUCGCAAAUAAGAACGUUGCGGUGAAUAAGUUCUUAGGUUUUGUACACACCGCCCGUCACGCUAUGGAAAUUCUUAUUACUCAAAGCUUAUCAGUAUAGUUUAAAGUAAUAGAAAAACUGAAGUGAAGUCGUAACAAGGUAGCCGUAGGGGAACCUGCGGCUGGAUAAAA